AUUGAACGCUGGCGGCAGGCCUAACACCUGCUAGUCGAGCGGAGCGGCGGACGGGUGAGUAAUGCCUAGGAAUCAGCCUGGUAGUGGGGGAUAAAGUCCGGAAACGGGAGCUAAUACCGCAUACUAUCAGAUGAGCCUAGGCCGGAUUAGCUAGUUGGGGGGGUAAAGGCCUACAACGGCGACGAUCCGUAACUGGUCUGAGAGGAUGAUACGUAAAACUGGAACUGAGACACUGUCCAGACUCCUACGGGAGGCAGCAGUGGGGAAUAUUGGACAAUUGGCGAAAGCCUGAUCCAGCCCUGCCGCGUGUGUGAAGAAGGUCUUCGGAUUGUAAAGCACUUUAAGUUGGGAGGCGUUACCAACAGAAUAAGCACCGGCUAACUUCGUGCCAGCAGCCGCGGUAAGAC
rnacentral:rRNA from 1 species